CCAAUAAUUUCCACCGUCUUCUCUCUUCAUCUUCUAAUUCAACCUACAUAUACUUCGUCCGUUUCUUCAUCUUCUUCAAACGAUAUCUCAUAUUUUUUCGCUGAACCAUAUUGAAAUAUAUUUAGCUCAUGCAAAAGGUGUUUAUGAACUUGAGCAAGGAGUAGCCAGGUUCGAUUAUGUUGUGGGGCUAACCAUCAAAAUCAAUAAAUCAUCCCUCAGUUUAACCGGCAACCCAUCACCAUACCUCUUGCUUGCAAUAACGGUAGCCAUUGUACUCCUUUUUGAUAUAUUUUUCACAAUUAUUGUUGGUUUUUAUUUUGCCAACGAAGGUGGGAUUAUUCUAAAUCAAGGUGCUUUUGGGUCUCAGUUAUGCAGGGUGGGUUAGAUUUUGGUUCAAGACAACUUAUUGGAAGUGGAUUGAAGCUUGAAGCUGAUGUUCGGGUCAUUGAAUCACUUAAAAAGAUGUUGCACGAUUGAAGCUUGAAGCUGAUGUUCGGGUCAUUGAAUCACUUAAAAAAGGUUGCACAACUUCAAUAUGAACGAGAUGAUGAUGAUGGAGGUGGUGUGACCCGGAGGCGAUAUUGACGAUUUUCCAGCAACCUAGAUUUAACAACAUUGAAGAGUGUUUGUGUCACCAGAGAUCCCAAUCUCCCAUCUUUUGUAUGACGAUUUUGACCCAAUAGCGGUUGCCACCCCCACACAGCCUUCCCUCAUGUUGGAAAAAUGGGGAAUUCAAGAGUGCUAUAAGGUAAUGGAUGAUCAUCAAGCAUGGGCACUACUCUGUUGUAUUUUUCUGCAUGCUAGAAUUCUUCAUCUACUUGCAAACAUAUUGAGUUUGGUUUCAUUGGGAUUCGCCUCGAGCAACAAUCUGGUUUAGGAAACUAAUGGAUCUGGCACGGUAUGCAUAUACAUUUCAAGCUGCGUUUGAAUAAAGAAGUCAUCCCGGGUUUAGAAGGUGUAACCUCUUCCUGGACGGGUUACAUAACUCUAAAUCUAGAAUUGUUUAAAGUCUUUUGCUGAGUUUUAUGAACUCAUUUAAAUCAAGUCAAGGGUUGUAACUUAUUUUGUGGUUGUGGUUUUAAGACAAGUAUAAAAUGGGAUUUUUCUAAACUUUAUUAAUGAAUGAAUAUCUCAUGUUUUUAAUCAUAUAGAAUUGUUAUGAUUUGUUGCAAUGGUAUUAAGAAGUCACACCACAUAACCCACGCUUCCGCAAAGCCAGGGUGUGAAAAAAACAUCAUUCUGCAGUUUUCUGCAGACCAGCUUUUUUGUCCGGUUAUUUUGACCGUUUGCUAACCCAGUUAAAAAACGGUUUUAAAAAACAAUUUUAAAACCGGUUCUAAUCGGUUAUAAUCAGUUGCGUAUAUGGGUUUGAAAAAUCGGUUAGUAACCGGAACCGGUUAAAAAAACGGUUUUGGCUUUUGAUGAAAAAAACUGGACCGGUUAUUGAAAAAAAAUACCAGUUUGUACACCUCUUGACCCGAUUGACAAUGGAAUCUAUGUGUUGUUAGCUGGUAUGCAUUGGGAAGCAAAGAUGUUUGAGAAGUCAAUGGAGGCGAGGGAAUUGAUGAGGGUAAGAGGAGUAGAGAAGACCUCCUGGUUGCAGUUCAGUUGAGAUAAUAGCUCUUACCUCUUUUAAUUUCAAAUUGAGUUUAAGUAAUUAGUAACCGCCCUCUCAAUUUCAAAUUGCCAUGAUUGAUAUUUUGCGGUCGGCUUGAGAGGUGGUCUUUGAACUUUGGUAAGAGUUGUGCGCAUAAAGUGAGGUUGAAAGAAACUGUGCCUUGACUGAGAUGAAUGAGAUUUAUUGCUCAACUAGACUUAUACGAACAAAUACGACAACAUCAAAGAAGUCUGCAAUCUUCCAAGAACAAUAUGUUGCACCAAAAGAUGGUUGCUCUGCAUGUAGUACGGUUGCUAGAGGAGAUUAAAAGCCAAUUGUACGGGUGCUAAGAGGAAAUUAAACACGGAGCGUAUAGGUGGCGGAAGAGUGGAAGUUAAGUUUUGGGUAUGAAUCAAGCGAACUGGAGCAAUUUCACAGGGUUGGGCUUUGGCUAAUACGCGUGGGUUUCUUUUUUUCCUGCUGUAUGGUAUUUUUUUGGUUGGUUUGGCUCUGUCUUUUGUUGUUUUGGUGUACUGCACCCCUUAACAGCUGGGUUGUUUCUCGUGGUAAUAAAAUGGUUCACUUGGCUAGCCAAAUAAUAAAAAAAGAAUGACGGAAAGAAGAGCAGAGGCUGGAAAGUACAGGAAUGGGGUCAUAGUUAAUGGGUUUUUUUUAUUAAGUUUUUCUAUUAUGUGUUUUUAAUAGGCUUAUAUAUUUUAGUAAUUUUA